CUUAUUUUCGGGGGGAGCUUAUAGUCGGAGGUUUACAGUAUGGCCUUUGUCUUUGAAAGCCAAGCUAAAUUGAUCCUUGAUAACAUUGGUAUCAUUAGUUUUCUCUUUUUCGGCCGUAUACUAGUGGAUUGGUCUUACUUCUCUCUUCAUUUUGAUAGUGUUUUGAGCCCAAAAUCCUAAAAAUAUUUUAUUUUGAACGUUUUAAAGCGCAGUUUAAUCCUAGCGUACGG